rnacentral:tRNA from 1 species
AUCUUUGCUUCCAGUGGUUAGGACAUCGUCUUUUCAUGUCGAAGACCCGGUUUCGAAUCCCGUAAGGGAUA